GCAUAUCAAUAAGUGGAAGAAAAAAGAACUAACAAGGAUUCCCCUAGUAACUGCGAGUGAAGAGGGAAAAGCUCAAAUUUAAAAUCUGGCAGUUUCACUGUCCGAGUUGUAAUUUAGAGAAGUGUUACCCGCGUUGGACCGUGUAUAAGUCUCCUGGAACGGAGCGUCAUAGAGGGUGAGAAUCCCGUCUUUGACACGGACUACCAAGGCAUUGUGGUACGCUCUCGAAGAGUCGAGUUGUUUGGGAAUGCAGCUCUAAAUGGGUGGUAAAUUCCAUCUAAAGCUAAAUAUUGGCGAGAGACCGAUAGCGAACAAGUACCGUGAGGGAAAGAUGAAAAGAACUUUGGAAAGAGAGUUAAACAGUACGUGAAAUUGCUGAAAGGGAAACGCUUGAAGUCAGUCGCGUUGGCCGGGGAUCAGCCUUGCUUUUGUGAGGUGUACUUCCUGGUUGACGGGUCAGCAUCAGUUUCGACCAUUGGAAAAAGGCUUGGGGAAUGUGGCAUCCUCGGAUGUGUUAUAGCCCCUUGUCGUAUACAGUGGUUGGGACUGAGGAACUCAGCACGCCGCAAGGCCGGGUUUCGACCACGUUCGUGCUUAGGAUGCUGGCAAAAUGGCUUUAAGCGACCCGUCUUGAAACACGGACCAAGGAGUCUAACAUGCUUGCGAGUGUUUGGGUGGUAAACCCGAGCGCGUAAUGAAAGUGAAAGUUGGGAUCUCUGUCGUGGAGAGCACCGACGCCCGGACCAGAUGUUUACUGACGGAUCUGCGGUAGAGCACGUAUGUUGGGACCCGAAAGAUGGUGAACUAUGCCUGAAUAGGGCGAAGCCAGAGGAAACUCUGGUGGAGGCUCGUAGCGAUUCUGACGUGCAAAUCGAUCGUCGAAUUUGGGUAUA
rnacentral:rRNA from 1 species